GGCUGGUUUCGGGCGGGCCCUACACAUGCAGUCGAACGGUAGCACAGAGAGCUUGCUCUCGGGUGACGAGUGGCGGACGGGUGAGUAAUGUCUGGGAAACUGCCUGAUGGAGGGGGAUAACUACUGGAAACGGUAGCUAAUACCGCAUAACGUCGCAAGACCAAAGAGGGGGACCUUCGGGCCUCUUGCCAUCAGAUGUGCCCAGAUGGGAUUAGCUAGUAGGUGGGGUAACGGCUCACCUAGGCGACGAUCCCUAGCUGGUCUGAGAGGAUGACCAGCCACACUGGAACUGAGACACGGUCCAGACUCCUACGGGAGGCAGCAGUGGGGAAUAUUGCACAAUGGGCGCAAGCCUGAUGCAGCCAUGCCGCGUGUAUGAAGAAGGCCUUCGGGUUGUAAAGUACUUUCAGCGGGGAGGAAGGUGUUGUGGUUAAUAACCACAGCAAUUGACGUUACCCGCAGAAGAAGCACCGGCUAACUCCGUGCCAGCAGCCGCGGUAAUACGGAGGGUGCAAGCGUUAAUCGGAAUUACUGGGCGUAAAGCGCACGCAGGCGGUCUGUCAAGUCGGAUGUGAAAUCCCCGGGCUCAACCUGGGAACUGCAUUCGAAACUGGCAGGCUAGAGUCUUGUAGAGGGGGGUAGAAUUCCAGGUGUAGCGGUGAAAUGCGUAGAGAUCUGGAGGAAUACCGGUGGCGAAGGCGGCCCCCUGGACAAAGACUGACGCUCAGGUGCGAAAGCGUGGGGAGCAAACAGGAUUAGAUACCCUGGUAGUCCACGCCGUAAACGAUGUCGACUUGGAGGUUGUGCCCUUGAGGCGUGGCUUCCGGAGCUAACGCGUUAAGUCGACCGCCUGGGGAGUACGGCCGCAAGGUUAAAACUCAAUGAAUUUGACGGGGGCCCGCACAAGCGGUGGAGCAUGGUGGUUUAAUUCGAUGCAACGCGAAGAACCUUACCUACUCUUGACAUCCAGAGAACUUUCAGGAGAUGGAUUGGUGCCUUCGGGACUCUGAGACAGGUGCCUGCAUGGCUGUCGUCAGCUCGUGUUGUGUGAAAUGUGUUGGGGUUAAGUCCCGCAACGAGCGCACCCUAUCCUUUGUGCCAGCGGUCAGGCGGGACUCAAAGAGACUGCAUGAUAAACCUGGAAGAGAAGGGGUGGGGGAUGACGUCAGUCAUCAUGUCCUACGAGUAGGCUAACACACGGGCUACAUGGCCAACAAGAGAAUCGGACCUCGCGGGAGCCAGCGGAACCUCAUUGAGUUGCCCCCUUCGUCAGAUUAUCCCCGG
rnacentral:rRNA from 1 species